rnacentral:rRNA from 1 species
GUCCACGCCCUAAACGAUGCUCACUAGGUGUUGGGAAGCGAUUCCUUGGUACCGUAGCUAACGCGUGAAGUGAGCCGCCUGGGGAGUACGGCCGCAAGGUUAAAACUCAAAGGAAUUGACGGGGACCCGCACAAGCGGUGGAUGAUGUGGAUUAAUUCGAUGCAACGCGAACAACCUUACCUACCCUUGACAUGUCCGGAAGCCUGCUGAAAGGCGGGUGUGCUCGAAAGAGAACCGGAACACAGGUGCUGCAUGGCUGUCGU